rnacentral:piRNA from 1 species
UGCACCUAUUGGUCUCAGGUGAAAUGGUGUC